rnacentral:lncRNA from 1 species
GGCAUCCUUACGAGCAAUACCUUGCUCGUCUAUAUCUUCCUCAAGUUCCAGUAAACUCUCCCGGGCAGAAGGAGACUCUGGCCGGACGAUAUAAUACCUCUCCUUAAAAUCCUUAAUAGAGUCCACGAACAUCUUAAAAAGUUUGACAUCCUCGUGAUGCUUCAACGAAACCCAGUUUUGACGAGGUGCCCGUCCUACUUCCUUCGUCGGCUUGCGUUGAAUUUUGAAGAUCCUAAAAAAGAGGGGAAGGCUGGGACGAACACCUUUAUACACGCAGAGAUGCUCGAACGCCAUUAUAAACGACCAGGAGUUAGGGUGCAGCUGUGACGGAGCCACCUGCAAGGCUUUGAGAACACUUGCAGCAAAAGGGCUGAACGGCAGUCUAAG